rnacentral:rRNA from 1 species
GAUGAACGCUGGCGGCGUGCCUAAUACAUGCAAGUCGAGCGAACGGACGAGAAGCUUGCUUCUCUGAUGUUAGCGGCGGACGGGUGAGUAACACGUGGAUAACCUACCUAUAAGACUGGGAUAACUUCGGGAAACCGUAGCUAAUACCGGAUAAUAUUUUGAACCGCAUGGUUCAAAAGUGAAAGACGGUCUUGCUGUCACUUAUAGAUGGAUCCGCGCUGCAUUAGCCAGUUGGUAAGGUAACGGCUUACCAAGGCAACGAUGCAUAGCCGACCUGAGAGGGUGAUCGGCCACACUGGAACUGAGACACGGUCCAGACUCCUACGGGAGGCAGCAGUAGGGAAUCUUCCGCAAUGGGCGAAAGCCUGACGGAGCAACGCCGCGUGAGUGAUGAAGGUCUUCGGAUCGUAAAACUCUGUUAUUAGGGAAGAACAUAUGUGUAAGUAACUGUGCACAUCUUGACGGUACCUAAUCAGAAAGCCACGGCUAACUACGUGCCAGCAGCCGCGGUAAUACGUAAGUGGCAAGCGUUAUCCGGAAUUAUUGGGCGUAAAGCGCGCGUAGCGGUUUUUUAGUCUGAUGUGAAAGCCCACGGCUCAACCGUGGAGGGUCAUUGGAAACUGGAAAACUUGAGUGCAGAAGAGGAAAGUGGAAUUCCAUGUGUAGCGGUGAAAUGCGCAGAGAUAUGGAGGAACACCAGUGGCGAAGGCGACUUUCUGGUCUGUAACUGACGCUGAUGUGCGAAAGCGUGGGGAUCAAACAGGAUUAGAUACCCUGGUAGUCCACGCCGUAAACGAUGAGUGCUAAGUGUUAGGGGGUUUCCGCCCCUUAGUGCUGCAGCUAACGCAUUAAGCACUCCGCCUGGGGAGUACGACCGCAAGGUUGAAACUCAAAGGAAUUGACGGGGACCCGCACAAGCGGUGGAGCAUGUGGUUUAAUUCGAAGCAACGCGAAGAACCUUACCAAAUCUUGACAUCCUUUGACAACUCUAGAGAUAGAGCCUUCCCCUUCGGGGGACAAAGUGACAGGUGGUGCAUGGUUGUCGUCAGCUCGUGUCGUGAGAUGUUGGGUUAAGUCCCGCAACGAGCGCAACCCUUAAGCUUAGUUGCCAUCAUUAAGUUGGGCACUCUAAGUUGACUGCCGGUGACAAACCGGAGGAAGGUGGGGAUGACGUCAAAUCAUCAUGCCCCUUAUGAUUUGGGCUACACACGUGCUACAAUGGACAAUACAAAGGGCAGCGAAACCGCGAGGUCAAGCAAAUCCCAUAAAGUUGUUCUCAGUUCGGAUUGUAGUCUGCAACUCGACUACAUGAAGCUGGAAUCGCUAGUAAUCGUAGAUCAGCAUGCUACGGUGAAUACGUUCCCGGGUCU